UACCAGCACCCCGAGUGGUCGGGACGUUUAUUGGGCCUAAAGCAUCCGUAGCCGGUUCUACAAGUCUUCCGUUAAAUCCACCUGCUUAACAGAUGGGCUGCGGAAGAUACUAUGGAGCUAGGAGGCGGGAGAGGCAAGCGGUACUCGAUGGGUAGGGGUAAAAUCCGUUGAUCCAUCGAAGACCACCAGUGGCGAAGGCGGCUUGCCAGAACGCGCUCGACGGUGAGGGAUGAAAGCUGGGGGAGCAAACCGG
rnacentral:rRNA from 1 species